GUGGCGAGUGGCGAACGGGUGAAAUACAUCGGAACGUGCCCAAUCGUGGGGGAUAACGCAGCGAAAGCUGUGCUAAUACCAUACGAUCUACGGAUGAAAGCAGGGGAUCGCAAGACCUUGCGCGAAUGGAGCGGCCGAGCAGAUUAGGUAGUUGGUGAGGUAAAGGCUCACCAAGCCUUCGAUCUGUAGCUGGUCUGAGGACGACCAGCCACACUGGGACUGAGACACGGCCCAGACUCCUACGGGAGGCAGCAGGGGAAUUUUGGACAAUGGGCGAAAGCCUGAUCCAGCCAUGCCGCGUGCAGGAUGAAGCUUCGGGUUGUAAACUGCUUUUGUACGGAACGAAACGGCCUUUUCUAAUAAAGAGGGCAUGACGGUACCGUAAGAAUAAGCACCGGCUAACUACGUGCCAGCAGCCGCGGUAAUACAGGGUGCAAGCGUUAAUCGGAAUUACUGGGCGUAAAGCGUGCGCAGGCGGUUAUGUAACAGUUGUGAAAUCCCCGGGCUCAACCUGGGAACUGCAUCUGUGACUGCAUAGCUAGAGCGGUAGAGGGGGAUGGAAUUCCGCGUGUAGCAGUGAAAUGCGUAGAUAUGCGGAGGAACCGAUGGCGAAGGCAAUCCCCUGGACCUGUACUGACGCUCAUGCACGAAAGCGUGGGGCAAACAGGAUUAGAUACCCUGGUAGUCCACGCCCUAAACGAUGUCAACUGGUUGUUGG
rnacentral:rRNA from 1 species